CAAGGCAGCUGAUUGGUUAAGCCUCAGCUGCCUUUAUCUUCCUCUCACUCUGAUGCGAGCUAAUCCCAGGAGAGCCUACAAAUGCAACGGAAAACAUCUGGCUGGAUAUUGUGAGUGUAGGAGCAAGAACAAACUGUUUUCUAGCAGCUGCAGUUCUCUGCAGGUAUGGGGUUGAGGAUCCAGGGAGGCUGCCUGACCCACAUUGGAAGGAAUGUCUCGAUCCUGGGUUCACUUACAUUAUAAGCAGCGCAAGAAUUCGGCGAAGAAACGAAUGUAGCAGAUAAACAGGCCAGGUGCUGGGGAUGCAAAUGAAAUCGAUGACAGAUGUGCUGACUGCUGUCAGAGCGAGCGGUCCAGAUUCCCGUGUGCUGGUAUCCAUGGGCUCUGCCUUGCCAAGCUGCCAGUCUGGAGCGUCACACCUUACUGCCUUUAAAGAUUGCCCUGCAGAGAUAGAGGGAAAUGGCAAUUUUUACAUGAUGCAGUCUGGCGACCCAGGAGAUUUGAAGUCAGAACUGGUGCCAAGAUUUACCCAGGAGAGCAAGCAGAGGCAAAAACAGAGAACCUGGGCCAAAAGGGGGGAAAAAAGAGAAGAAAGAAGAGGAAGGGUGGGGGCUGGGGAAACCAGAGUCAACUCUCCUGGGGAGAGGGGGUUCUCUCAAAAGGCUGGAACUCAGGUCCACUGAGCUGGUGAUGGCCCUGUUAUGAGGAGUCUGUGGGUUCUAAAGAAAGUCAAAGGGAAGAGGUCGGCUUUUUUUGCAUGCCCUAAAUUGUAGUAGAUUGCAGAAUGUAAAUGAGACAAUUAUUACACCAACGCUCAUCAAGCUGGGCUGGAAAGACUUCAAUAGCCUGAUGAAUAUGCAUGCAAAUUUGUUAAUUAAGUUAAUUAUUCUGCUGAAAAUUCAUUUGUCUUCCAAGGACAUUUUCCCAAUGAUUUUAACAUGCUAGCGCCAUUAGUCAUGCUCCAUGCUAUUUAACAUUCCUUUUUGUCCACUUUCUUUUCCCCCCACCUUUUUUUUUUUGUUAUAAUAUUUUAAAGUUUUAAAAAUAGUUGAUGGGUUCUUUUAAUUGACCCCUGCCACGCUGGAAGAUGCCUAGAGCCAGCUCAGUAGGCAAUCUCAGAAGCACGUUUCAAUUAAAUAUUUCCUUGAUAUAUAAAAUGUCUGCAAAAUGUCACAUUGGUGGGGAGGAGAAGGGCUCUAUCUGGGAUCAUUAAAGCUAGAAUUCGAAUGGUUCUCCAUAGUGACUGUAAGAGCUAAUGGGUCCCUGCUGUGGGCGAUGUCCCCAGCUCUGAGCGUGGUUUGAUCCAUGGAUUUACCUUGGUGUGGGAAGUACAGGGAGUCCAGCCUCCUCCAUCCUCCUGCUGCAAAGCAAGACCCAGUGAACAUGUGUGUUCAAACAGGAACCAGUCCUGUGAUACUUUUCUGUCACCCAUGAGGGCCCAAACCUGUUACCAUGGCAACCAAGGGGACGAGUGUGUUUAAAAUCACAUCUAAAUGGCAAAUUGAGAUAUUUCAAAGAAACAGUCGAGUUUAAUUUUGUUAGCCAACAGUGGCCCCCCAAAAAGGUAAUAGAGUGUUUUGUUAUUUUAACUGCAUGUUCGUUUGCUGGGUAAAGCAGGUGUAUGUAAUUGAGGCCUUCACUGUGGGCCUUAAAAUGAGAAUCUUGGAGGGUUGGGGUGAGCUUUAUUCAACCGGAUUCUUGAUCUUCAGGCACAGAGACUAGAAGCAGUCUGUACAAAUCCCUCCCAAAAUCUACGUAGAGAGAUUAUAGUUUCCCAUCUCAACUCAAACAUCUAAACGUGAGGUCUGACAGGUGCAAGUGUUCUUAGUGGGAUAGUAUAAUAGGAAAUUUGAAAUCAAGGCUAUUCCAGAGAAAUCAGAGGAAUGUGAUUGCCAGCAUACAUGAGGGAACCAUAUUUUAAAAAGAAAGAUUAAUCUGUGCAACAUGCCAGGGGGCUGCCACACGCAGGCUUAAAGGCUUCCCUUAAAGUCAUUUACUUUCUUUAGAAGGAAGGUAAAUUCAGAUUCUCUCCAGCCUUCAGUCAUCCCAAAAGAAACUCUCCAAUAUGGUUCAGGUUACAACCUGCAUCUUCACGGUCAGGGGUGAUGAGACUUGCUUGGAGCCAGGCUAAUGGAAAAGGGAUUAAAUAACAAAGACAACACGAUUUAAUUGAAAGAGUUAAAGAAAAAUUAAUUGGCGUGUUAUCUCUUUUGAGCCAUUCGUAUAUAUUUUAUACAGUAUGAAUGGCACUGUGUGUCACAUAGAUCGUAAACCAAUUAAAAUGAUACUUCAAACCCUCUAAUUUCUAUAAUUCCAUCUGUUUUAGAAGGUUUAAUUAGCGAAGUUACAAAAGCCAAAUAUAUUUGAAUAUUUUGAAAGCAGGCUGAACAGCAAAACCUGAAAAGUUCCCAUAAACAUUUAACCACACAACCAUGUACAUUUCAUGGGCAUGUACUUCAGAUUAAAAUAUGAAUUUUUCUAAAUUUUGCCAACAAUAAACACAUCCAAAGAAAAUUAUGAUCAUAUGUUAGGCUGUAUAAAUUAAUUCAGGUGGUUUUUUUUCCCCUGUUUUUCAUCAAACUUCCAGAGUGAUUUCUUCUGAUGAAAAUCCCAUGCCUGUCAUUUAAUCUCAAUUGUGGGCCCAAAGGAGCAACAGCUUCAUAAAAUGAACAUUAUUGAACAUUCUUCCUUAAAAAUUUUCCUUCCAUAGGCUUAUAAGAGAGGCUUGACAUUCUGCAAAUAGAAGGGAAUCUUUUUCAGAGAGAUUCCAAAACGGUAACCUAUUUUUGAGAAAGUAUAAGGAAGUUAUGUCAUCUUUAAAUAUUGAACACAAAACCUAAAGCUACACAGUAAAGAAUUCAACCCAUGUCUCCACUCUUAAAAGAAAACAUUGUUUUGAAUUUUUUUAAAUAACGGGGCAACAUAUAAGAUCUUGCUGUAUCCUCUGGUUUGGAUGCUGGACUGCGCAGCUGUGUCUGAUCUGGGGCCUCAUAUGGCUGUAGCCUCCAGUGACUGACAGAGUGACGGGGACAACGUGAUGUACAUACACUCUCUUAUCAAAAUGCUCGCUUUAAUGUGAUUGUGACUCAGUGGGUGUCCAGCUCUGUCUUUCCUUUCUACUGGAUUUCUGACAUAUAACAAGGGGUAAUUAAUUUUCUUAUAUGCUUGUCUUUUUCAUUACCAGAAAUAUGGUGAGCACCAUUUAUUAAUUCUGCUCCUCGUUCGGACGACCCACACAGACUAUCUUUGUUUGCACUGCUAUUGUAUACUGUUGACUCGGGGGAGGGGAUGGCUGAUAGAAGGAAAGGGGAAUCAAACUUGACUAUGGGAACAAACUUGAGUGGUAACUUGACCAUACAUCAUGCCAGAAAACAACCAUUUAUUGAGGAUAUACUACACAAAGUGUGUUUGAUGUGCAUCAUCUCUUUAAUCCUUGCAUCAUCAACCAUCCAAUAAAAGCUUAAUUAGCCUCAUUUGACAAGUGAACAAAGCAAAAUCCACCAGAAAUGAAGUCCCUUGCUCAAGUCGUGAAAAAGAAAGAAAUAAAAAUUUCCAAUAAGCAAGCAGCAGGGUGCAAGAUGUGGAGCCAAAAAACAUAUCCAGAUUGUUUGUUUUAUCCCAAAGCAUUUACGUGUUCUACUGUGCCUGGCUACCACUACCACUGUCUAGAAGCUCACCUUGCAAGUCCGGAAUACGUCCAACACUUACUAUUUUUAUUUGUGGCAGCAUCUACUUUAAUCACAAGAUACUCUCCGGACAUCUUAUCUUUAUUUCAUGUUCUUGAAUUAAUUUUUACUCUAUGAUGGACUUCGCAUCUUUAAAGGAAUUGUCUUCCACUUUGAUGUAUUCCGAGUUUUAAAUUUUAAAAAAAAAUGGGAAUUUUCCCAAGAAAGAGGUUAAGUAGAUUUUGUUUGUAAAUAGUUCAGCAGUUGCAGGAGGCAUCUGUUACUUUUUUGCCUCACCUGUGCUUCUCUUUCUUUGGAUUCGUACUUCCUCCCCACCUGCCAUGGGACUGUCAUCAGGAGACCUAGCACCCCACCCUGCCCCUGUCAGAGUGGCGAAC
rnacentral:lncRNA from 9 species